GCGGACGUGGCGGAAUUGGCAGACGCGCUAGACUUAGGAUCUAGUACCGAGAGGUGUGAGAGUUCGAGUCUCUCCGUCCGUA
rnacentral:tRNA from 1 species